GGUUCUAAACGAUUCGUUUGAUUAAUUCAUAAUGCUCAUGAUUGACACUUGGGGAAAUGAGUUUGCCUGAUGCAAUUUUCUUUUGCUGCAGUUAAUAAACCACAAAACAUAUGUUAAAUCAAGGUUAAAAUGUGGGUGGAACAGAUGGAGGCAGCAAACUACUCUUGGAAGAACCAACAACCAAUGUAGUUUUUCAGAUUACAUCUCAUCUAAGAAAUGAGAAUAUCACAUCUGUUGAUGAUCCUCUUCAUGAUAUCUCCAAGGACUGGCUAUACUCUGAAGUUUCAACUGAAUACAGGUUACAUACUACAAGAUAUGAUAAGAGGAAGAACAGUUCGAUGCAGUAGUUUAGGAUGGCAUUGUCAUAUGAUCCAUUGUGUUGGGAAACAUAUGGAGGAAUUUGUAGUUUAGCUUUGUAUGAGGAAUCUGAGCGUCACAGGAGUGGUUAAAUAGCAACAAGGAGAAAGAUUCCCAUGUAGCAGUCAUAUGGAGAGCGCCAAAAACUGUUUCGAUGAGAUAGCAGUGAAGGACGUUUGUUUCUGGACUGCUCUCAUCUACGAUUUCAGGUAUCAUGCACCAUCAGAAGCUGGUGCGGAUAUUCUUUUGGAUUCUUUGAGAAUGGGAACACUUACUGCUGCGCAAAACAUCUUAUUGGAUGGAGACUUACUAUCUAUUCACGAGAAUAAUGCUUCAAGAGCCACCAUCGAAACAUUUUCAUCAACUUCUCCCUUUGCUUCUUCUUCAAUGAUGGAUUUAUAGGACGUAUUUGCUCCCCCACCUCAAAAAGGGGAUAAGGGUCCAACAUUUCCGUCCAUUUUUGCAUUGGAGAGCAGCACUUAGCAAAUAUAAUAUGCCAUUUGAAUUGCGAGAUCUUACUCUAGACGUGUCCACUUUCUUUUAAAGGCUGCAGUUCCAAAAGCCAGGUCCCAAAUUUGUUUUUAUGCUUAAUGUUAUAAUCCUUACGCUUCAUAGUUUAUUCCACACAAUAUUUCCUAAUCAAAAUGCCUCCAUAGAGUUUGGUUCUUAGCUAAAUCGGUCCAAGCUUUUAUAGCAUGAUAAACUAUUGUUUUAGCAAAUUUCUUACUUCAUAAAUUAUAACACUAACUACUCUGGAUAAUGAUUUGUAUGUCUUAGGAUGUUGGUAUAUGUAUUCUUUGUUUGAUCAGUUAUAAAACAAGAAUCAAUAAUUGAGAGAAUGAUGUACUUGAAAAUUUUCCGCAGAAUAAUCUCCAACUUUCCCAGUUUCCAAACCCAUUUUAAAAACAAAAAGUAAAUAGACUAACAAAUAAAAAAUAUUUUUU